AUGCUCCCAACAUAUCAAAUGAUUUCUAUACAUCUCCUCUUAAUUCAGAAAUAGAAAGCAAUUAUUUUUUAGAAAAUAUGGAUAAUUAUGGAUUUGCAGAAUCUCUAAUAGAUUUUAAUGAAAAUAUACAUAUUUUUGAGGAACCAACAUUUAUCGAUAGCCAAAAGGGCAAAUCAUUGCUCUUUUUUCAAAAUUUUCUUUACCGUUAUAACGGUACAUACAGG